GUCCCUGUAGCACAAUGGAUAGCGUGUCGGAUAUCUAAUUCGAAGGUUGUGGGUUCGAAUCCUACCUGAGAUG